AAAUUGAAGAGUUUGAUCAUGGCUCAGAUUGAACGCUGGCGGCAGGCCUAACACAUGCAAGUCGAACGGUAACAGGAAGCAGCUUGCUGCUUUGCUGACGAGUGGCGGACGGGUGAGUAAUGUCUGGGAAACUGCCUGAUGGAGGGGGAUAACUACUGGAAACGGUGGCUAAUACCGCAUAACGUCGCAAGACCAAAGAGGGGGACCUUCGGGCCUCUUGCCAUCAGAUGUGCCCAGAUGGGAUUAGCUUGUUGGUGAGGUAACGGCUCACCAAGGCGACGAUCCCUAGCUGGUCUGAGAGGAUGACCAGCCACACUGGAACUGAGACACGGUCCAGACUCCUACGGGAGGCAGCAGUGGGGAAUAUUGCACAAUGGGCGCAAGCCUGAUGCAGCCAUGCCGCGUGUAUGAAGAAGGCCUUCGGGUUGUAAAGUACUUUCAGCGGGGAGGAAGGUGUUGUGGUUAAUAACCACAGCAAUUGACGUUACCCGCAGAAGAAGCACCGGCU
rnacentral:rRNA from 1 species